GAUUGGGGGUAGAGUAGACGCCGGAGAGGGCACAAACUAGAUCUAUGGGCAGGGACAGGAGCUGAACAAGUUUACUCAUGUGCUGGGAAGAUGGUCUCAGUUCAGCAUCACACCACCCCGCAGCACCCCCCCCCGCAACACCCCCCCGCAACACCCCACCCCAUUCCAGCUCUUCAUGUUCAGUUCACACUUCCCCUUAAAUAUUGGUAGUAAGGAUGCUUGGAUUUGGCCAAUUUGGCCACCUAUCCAUGGUUCGGGUCACUUCCUGACAGUAGCUGUAGGGGUGGACCUUGUUUUCCCUAGUCCCCUUCCCUCAGGCCCCUUCCCUCAGGCCCACAGUGUGGAUGAAAAGGAGACAGCAGUCAGGGAAUCUCGUGUCAAGCUUUAUUUGGCAGGUGGCUUUGCUCAGUACUCAGAUCUCGUGGCUCCUUGGCAGCUCAGGGCUCAGACAUCGAAAUGGAAUGGUGGUGUGGCCUCACGUUGACGUUGCUUGGGCAGCAGGCUCCUGUUUUUCAUCGGACAGUGGCAUUUUUCAAGAUGUGGCGAGAUGCUCUUGAAGUCUGGUAAAAUUCUCAGGCAGGAGUUUUGAUGGACUUGCUAUUCUGUGCAUCUAGUAUUUUUUACACCUUAUGGUGUAUGAGCGGCGGCGACGGCAGCAUCCUAGAAAGCAUCGCCUCCUCCGUCUGCGACAUCUUCGCCUGCGACGGCGGCAUCUGCUCCUGCUUUUGCUGCGGCAGCAUCGGUACCUGGCCAUGGUGCUGGCUUGGCCUGGAGCUGGCUCAGAGCAGGGGACACCACCUGAGUCGAGCCAGCCAACCUGUGAGCAGGCACCUUCUUGACAGCUGCUUCUCAAUGUUUCUGAAGUAUCUAAAGAUGCAGAGGGGACCGCGAAGCGGGGAGCAAGCAGAUGUGUGGGGAUGUGAAAAGUGUAUGGAGAAGGCCUCAAACAAACAUCACCUUUCCCAUCAA